GGAUGCGAUCAUACCAGCACUAAAGCACCGGAUCCCAUCAGAACUCCGAAGUUAAGCGUGCUUGGGCGAGAGUAGUACUAGGAUGGGUGACCUCGUGGAAGUCCUCGUGUUGCAUUCC
rnacentral:rRNA from 2 species